GCCUGGAGAACCAAGCUGCCUGAAACCUAACCUGAUCCCAAAGCAGUAGGAGGACUACAAGGAGGAGACCAAGCCUGCGCAGGCCUGGGUACAAGGCGCGCCCCCCGUCCCCCUGGGGAUGGACUUCGAAAGGGAAGAGAAACCACCUAAAGAUGCUGUUCUGCCACCGCCACAGCCCCAGGGUGCUCCAGGAGAGUCAGGGCACACAGCCACCUCUUGCGUCCCUUGUGCACCCAAGGAGGAAGGGCUUUGGAGAAGUGGAGAGCCAGGUGCACGGCCACCUCAUAAAUCCUCUGCAGGGCCAAGGAGGAGGGGCUUUGGAAAAGUGACAACCUUGAGGUUGCCACCACCCCUGCCCUUGCUCAGGAUCAACUGUGCCACUUUUGUGAAGUAGUCCUCUUUGGAUAACAAGUUUGCUGUGGGGAGUGGAGGCUGGCUCAUCUCCUCAGUCUGCUACUUUGAGUCUGAAAACAACUGGUGGGUGAGCAAGCACAUUAAGAAGCUGAUUCGCUCCACAGUCCUCAGGUUGGGCUGGCACUCCAACAACAUUUUGCUGGCUGCAGGGUCAUGUGACUUCAAAUCCAGCACUGCAGAAGCCCGGUAGGUGCUGCACGCCUGUAAACCCAGCACUAAAGCAGCUGCACUGGUGGCUGGGUGCACAGUGUCAGCUGCUCGGCCAGUGGGAGCCGCCUGCGACAGCACAGUGUCUGUGGCUGACACCUCCAAGAGUGUUCAUGUGUCGAGUCUGAAGACAGAAUUUCUGCCACUGCUCAGUUUGUCCUCAGAGAAGAGCAUCGUGGCCGAGCCAGGUGUCCAUUUACAAGGUGGACCAGCAGGACAGUCGAAAAUUAUGCACCACUGGCAUCGACGGGGCCAUGAUGAUCUGGGAUUUCAAGGCAACCUGGAAGCCACCAUGGGUGUUAAUAUCCUGAUAGGAGCCACAGGAACCUGGAGGCCACCAUGGGUGUUGAUAUCCUCAUAGGAGCUACAGGUCAAUAGAGAGCGAUUUGUCCCUUUUGUUGGAGCAAGGAAAAUGGCUAUUUUGCUGGACCAGAACUUUUGCACAAAUUCUUGAUGAAUGCUAUUUUUGUUGACCUGGAGGCCAGCAUUGGUGGCUGAUAUCCUGAUAUCACAGGUUGGUGGAGUGCCAUAUGUCGCUUUUGCCAGAGGCAAGGAAAAUGACUUCUCUUGCAAAUUGAGUCCAUGUUUUAAAACUAUGCACCCUUUGAAAUUUAGUAUGGAUAUCAGUCUUGUAAUUAUCCACUGAAUAUCUGUUCUGUUAGGUUGAGACCUGUCCCAGGAGAAUCCAUAUUUACCCACAUGGAAGCCUAUGAGGAGUUCACCAACGAUGGAAUAUACUGGACCUUGCAAUGCCAAGGCUCCAGGAAACUCAAGAGACAGAACAAGGAAAAAAAAAAAACUACAUCUCUCCUUGUUUAAUGAUGUUUUGGUUGUGACUAAUAACCUAUGAGUAUGUCCCUCAUGCCUGCCAUAGUAUUAGAGGCUACACUUUGAUUAGGCUUUACUGUACAAAAAUAAAAUAGUUUUUUGUUCUGUUUUGCUUUAUAAUUACUUCAUUAUUUCCCUAUUUUAUUUCUUAUUACACAUCCUCCCAUGUUUCCUUACUUGGUCUCUUUUAAAAUCAUAGCUUCUUUUUUAAUUAAUAAUUGUUACACAGAUAUAUAUGUGUUAAGGUACGUAUAUGUGUGUGGAUAUAUAUAUGUAUUCGUAACUACGUAAUCAGCUCAGUCAGUAUAAUAUUAAUUGUAUAUAUAUUUUUCAGGACUGACCAUUUGGUAUUGAUAGCCAAUUAGUUGCUAUUCCUAUGAGAGGUAUUUCUCUUACUCUCAAAAUUGCACAGCGGCACAGACUUUUUGAAGUAGAGUUGAAGCUUAGUGGACUUUCUUCUGUACACAUUUUCACUUUGUUAUCACAAAUGUUUCAGUCAUAUUUUAAAAAAUGAAUUAUUUAAAGUGUGAUUCUGCUGUUUGAAUUGAGAAAAAAUAGCAAAAAUCAUGAAAAGGAGAGAGGUAUCAGCAAUUAUAGUUAUUUUGAAGCUGACUUAUGAGUAUUGGAAGUUUGUGGACUACACUAAAAUUUUUCUCAAAAACUGUUUAAAAUAUGAAAGAUAAAAUCACUGGUUAUAUUGGUUGCUCAAAGGGGAUCAUAUAUGUAAGCCUCUGAACUCAUAACUUCCAAAUUAGUGUGAAGAGAUGAGAAGAAGACACUAUCCCUACAUUCAUCAGGGGAACUGCUGGUACCAAGUAGGUCCUGCUUGGUGAUCCUGCAGAUGCUAAGGACUGCUGUGAUUGGAGCAUAGAGGUGUUUUUAGGACCACAUCACAUAUAAUCUCUAGGGGCCAUGAUCAUAGCCUUCAUAUUAUUCUGAGAGAAAUAAAAUUGGUCCUGACCUCAUCAAGUACAUAUUUUAAGGAGUAUUCUUAUAAGUAUGUAAAUAGAUUUUAGGACAGACAUCAAUAAAACAGUCUCAGUUUGGAGCGUAAAUUUUCCAGUUAUUGAGUAAUAUUCCUGAAGAUCCAUUUCAUAAAUUGUGAAAAAAAUGAAAGGAGAGAGUUCUUCUAUACAUUAUAGAGACAACCAAAUGCAUACAUUUUUCUCUCAACCCUGAGAGAAAACUCAACCCUCAACAUUUUUCUCUCACUGUAAGCUCCCACCCUAGAAAAGGGUGACUUAGUGUCUGACCAGUGUAGGCCUAAACUAAGUGAAUGGCCCAGCUGUCUGUCCAUCUUUGUCAUUUCUCCUCAGCUCCACUUUAGUCCACAAUUGGAAAUCCUAAUUUUAUUUUGAAAGAUAGUAAUCAACUCAUUUAAAAUAAAAAAAAAAAUACUGAUCAUUUUCCAUCAAUGUGUUUGUGAAACUGGUGAAUUUCACUUUGACUUUUGAAGAUAAUGGAAACUAAAAAAUGUUUGAUUUUCUUAAAAGAAAAUCUAUUUUGUUCCUCUUUGAAAAAUCUUUUGUUCCUCUGUGGUUGAAUUGGAAUAGUAAUUAAAAAUGUUUUGAGAUUAUCAUUUAUAUUAUAAAAAGAGGAUUAUCAAGCUUAUGGGAUGGUUAUCAUUUUUCCAUUUUCAAUGUAGAUUAUUUCUAAUGAGAAAUAUUAGAAUUAGAAGUUACAGGUUUCAUGAAGCAUUACUUCCCAAUUUUGGUUCAUAUAUGUAUAUGUAUAUGUACGUAUAUAUAUUAUGUAUAUACAUAUAUGUAUAUAUACAUUCAUACAUAUAUGCAUAAAUUCACAAGUCUUGAGGGUGGAAAGCAAAUGUAAAUAUGAAUAUUUCAUAUAUUUGAGGUGUUUGUGUGUAUAUGUGUAUCCUGAAGUACAUGUUACAUGAUAUGCUUGUAUUUUCACUAUAGGAUGUUAUGUUAGAUGGGUGGGAAAUCUUUAUUUCUUCACAUUUUGGAUUUUAGAAAUAUUUACGUGUAGGAUUUUUGAAUCAGGUUUAUACUUGUGACCUAAUUUCUCCUGAAUCUGAGAGAGUCAGAGUCAUUAUCUUCAGUCCACCAGUAUCCAAUGAAGAAUUCCAAAUUCAGGUUUACAUAACAAAUGCCCCAGGAAAUUCUCAGUCUGUCAUAAAAAUAAUGCAAAAGAAUCACAAAUGUGGGAAGGAGAACUCUCAGGAGAUAGGAGAAAGUGAGAAAAAUUAAUCAGAACACAUUACAUAUGUGUAUGAAAUUCUUAACCAACUUCAUAUAAAAAGUGUAAAGAAAGAAUGAGACUUAGGCUCCCACGUAAUUGUUUUUCAAGAACAGUUUUGAUAACAUCAGAAUGCUUGAUAAGAUGCCAUUUGUAAUCAAUGGAUGAGGUUAUUGGAAAAAAGAAUCCUCUGUGUUACUUGCACAUCGUGGGUUCACUGAAGGAGCAACAGCAGUAGGCUGGCAUGACUAAGUAAAUUGUCCUUUACUUAGUACAGGGUAAAGGACAAUGGAAUGUGAAUAUUAUUAUGUCAGACAGUAUUUCUAUAGUAUUUAUUUUGAAAAGGUUAUCAAAGUUAAUAUAAAAUUCUUAACUAAUUUUUGAUAUGGAAAUAAUGCAAAAAAGGUUAGUAUUUAGCCAAGUGGCGGGGGGGGGAGAAAUAUUGAAAGAGAUAGCUUUCUAAAAAUGCUAAGCCUUUAAAAUCCAUAGUAUACCUAUACUACAAAACACCAAUCAGAAAAAGACCAGUCUACAGGUAUUUGUGACCGUUUGUGUGUACCGAGUGACUUUUUUCAACACAGGCUUUGUUGAGGUCUGUGUACCAUGGCAUAAGCUAUGCCUUGAUCAUAGAGGGGGAUGAGUCCUCCUCUGCUUUGGGACAGGAAGAACUGGGUCUUACUACAAGAAUUCCAACUACAAUGAAAAGCAAAUUAACCGAUACUUGAUUCUCUUUCUAGACAGAAGAAAGGUUUAAAAUAAGGGUCCAUUUCACUGAGUAACUUAUGGAUAGAUGACUUUGUGGACAUAUUCAGGACAGAGAGCAGUUCUGCUUGCAAGUCCAUUCACCUGUUUUGUCCCAAGGAACAUCUUGUUGUCACUUUUCGAGCCAUGAAUGAUGCCAAGAAGGGAAACAGGAAACCUCUUCCAUUGAAGAUAUUCAUUGAGGACAUCAUAAGCUGUGCUAAUAUAUGUGAAUAUAAAACCAAAAAUGACAUUCUGUGUUCAUGACUAGGAGAGAGACAAUUUGUAAAAUAAUGAAAUAUGGAGAUAUAAGAAGAGGGUACAGGAGAGAGAGUGAGAAUUUAGGCAGUGGUAUGUAGAAACAAUAUGUAUAUUCCAUGCACAUAAAUGUAUUUACAGUGUGAUAUGUAGAAAGCAAUAUGAAGCAAGAUUGUUUCAUGUUAGCUACAGUGUCACCAAAGAGAAAAUAAUUUUAUUAAAUGAUCCACUAACAUACAGUUUCAAUCCAAAUGCUCCUACCAUAAUUAAAUUGUUUUCUCCUGGUUGUUAUUGUUUAUAUAUAGACUUACAUGUUUUUCCAUUAUUGCUUAUAUUGUAAAAUAAAUUUGUCUAAUCAUAAAUGAUUCUAAUAAUAGAAGAUUAACAUAAAUUUUAAGCAAAAUAUUACCAAGAAUUAACAUUUGAUCUUCAUAUUUACCUGAUUGGUGACAUUUUACAUAUUUAACUAUGUCCUGUAUUCUUUCUCUUUCUCUCAAUAUGCACUCUCACACCUUAUUUUAAAGCCCAGCUAUAUAGUCUUGGCUUCUUUUUUAUAUAUUUGUGUGACUCUCCUAGGCAUAAGGAUAACUUCUGCUUAAAAAUCACCUUUAUAGACUUGAGUGUGUGUGUGUGUGUGUGUGUGUGUGAGAGAGAGAGAGAGAGAGAGAGAUACUAACUGUGUGUUUGGUGCUUGGGAUAGAGUUCAUGACCUCAUACAUACUAUACACUGAGUUACACCCAUAUCAAAUAAUUUUCUAUUCUUCUAAUUCUAAUAUUGUUUUUACAUGAUUGGAUUCAGUGCAGAUCAUCAGUUUAACUAUUAUGUAGAAUUCAGAACAUUCCUUCCUAAGAAUUGGAUGACACGUAGCUGAAAGAAUCACCAUGUUUUUUACUUUUGUAAAUGCUAGUGGUUAUAAAACACAUUUGGAGUCAAUAUUCUAACAUAUCACUGUAGAAAUUGUACUAGAGUAACAAAGGUGUUUAUUAUUAAAAAAAUUUUAGAUCAACAAAGUGAUAUGUUCUUCAUACCAGUUCUAGGUUAUACAAAACAGUAAUUAAACAAAAAGUGUAGUAUAAAGUUAAGUACUAGCCAGUAACAUAAAUUGGAGAGCACUCUCACCAGCUUUGCUGAACCAGAUAUGUCUAUCUUCAGGAAAGAGAAAAAGAGAUAUUCCUGUAUAUGAAUGUUCUCUUGCCUCUUCUUGAUUGAUUUUAACUGUGGCAAAUGUUCAGUAUUGUAUGUCAACAAUCUCUCUGAUGUCUUUAAACAAUAUUGUGACAUAGAUUCAGUUCCUUUAAAAUAAUUAUUUCUACUGAUUUUCAUUCAAGGUCCUAGUGGUUUUCUAUUUUAUCCUGCAACAAUUUUUUUUAAUAAAAAUAUUCCCAAUUUG